GCAGCGAAGAGACAGGAGAGGAACCGGAGGAAGAGAUCGCCGGGGUUCCAUCUCCUGUGAACGAGACGGCUG
ensembl:miRNA